ensembl:miRNA gga-mir-6634 gga-mir-6634
AGUCUAUGAGGCCAUAAGACAUACUUCUCAGGGUUCUGAAGGAGCUGGCUGAGGUGGUUACUGAGCCAUUCUCCAUCACAUUUGAAAAGUCAUGGAUGACUGGAGGACUG